AACGCGCGAUCGCCUUGAGUUGAUAUGGCUCAGAAUCAACGCUGGCGGCGUGCCUAACACAUGCAAGUCGAACGCGAAAGCCCCGCAAGGGGUGAGUAGAGUGGCAAACGGGUGAGUAACACGUGGGUGACCUGCCUUCGAGCGGGGGAUAACGUCCCGAAAGGGACGCUAAUACCGCAUGACAUCCUGUCUUUUAACAGACGGAGAUCAAAGCCGGGGAUCGCAAGACCUGGCACUUGAAGAGGGGCCCGCGCCUGAUUAGCUAGUUGGUGGGGUAAUGGCUCACCAAGGCGACGAUCAGUAUCCGGCCUGAGAGGGCGGACGGACACACUGGGACUGAGACACGGCCCAGACUCCUACGGGAGGCAGCAGUGGGGAAUUGUUCGCAAUGGGCGCAAGCCUGACGACGCAACGCCGCGUGGAGGAUGAAGACCUUCGGGUCGUAAACUCCUUUCGAUCGAGACGAACGGCCUCCGGGUGAAUAAUCCGGAGGAGUGACGGUACCGAGAGAAGAAGCCCCGGCUAACUCCGUGCCAGCAGCCGCGGUAAUACGGGGGGGGCAAGCGUUGUUCGGAAUUACUGGGCGUAAAGGGCUCGUAGGUGGCCAACUAAGUCAGACGUGAAAUCCCUCGGCUUAACCGGGGAACUGCGUCUGAUACUGGAUGGCUUGAGUUUGGGAGAGGGACGCGGAAUUCCAGGUGUAGCGGUGAAAUGCGUAGAUAUCUGGAGGAACACCGGUGGCGAAGGCGGCGU
rnacentral:rRNA from 1 species